rnacentral:rRNA from 1 species
UACACUCCUACGGGAGGCAGCAGUGGGGAAUAUUGCACAAUGGGCGCAAGCCUGAUGCAGCCAUGCCGCGUGUGUGAAGAAGGCCUUCGGGUUGUAAAGCACUUUCAGCGGGGAGGAAGGCAAUGCGGUUAAUAACCGUGUUGAUUGACGUUACCCGCAGAAGAAGCACCGGCUAACUCCGUGCCAGCAGCCGCGGUAAUACGGAGGGUGCAAGCGUUAAUCGGAAUUACUGGGCGUAAAGCGCACGCAGGCGGUCUGUCAAGUCGGAUGUGAAAUCCCCGGGCUCAACCUGGGAACUGCAUUCGAAACUGGCAGGCUUGAGUCUUGUAGAGGGGGGUAGAAUUCCAGGUGUAGCGGUGAAAUGCGUAGAGAUCUGGAGGAAUACCGGUGGCGAAGGCGGCCCCCUGGACAAAGACUGACGCUCAGGUGCGAAAGCGUGGGGAGCAAACAGGAUUAGAAACCCCGGUAGUCCCA